rnacentral:rRNA from 1 species
AACGAACGCUGGCGGCAGGCCUAACACAUGCAAGUCGAGCGCCCUUUCGGGGGAGCGGCGGACGGGUGAGUAACGCGUGGGAAUAUGCCCUUCUCUACGGAAUAGCCUCGGGAAACUGAGAGUAAUACCGUAUACGCCCUAUGGGGGAAAGAUUUAUCGGGGAAGGAUUAGCCCGCGUUGGAUUAGGUAGUUGGUGGGGUAAUGGCCUACCAAGCCGACGAUCCAUAGCUGGUUUGAGAGGAUGAUCAGCCACACUGGGACUGAGACACGGCCCAGACUCCUACGGGAGGCAGCAGUGGGGAGUCUUAGACAAUGGGGGCAACCCUGAUCUAGCCAUGCCGCGUGAGUGAUGAAGGCCUUAGGGUUGUAAAGCUCUUUCAGCUGGGAAGAUAAUGACGGUACCAGCAGAAGAAGCCCCGGCUAACUCCGUG